rnacentral:ncRNA from 2 species
AAUUAAAUAGUUUAUCCAGGUGCUUCCGGUUAUACCGGGAGUGAAAAGGGAACCGGGUGAAAUUCCCGGACGGUCCGGCCACUGUAAAUGGGGAGCUGCUUCCAAAAUGCCACUGGGUCUUUGAGAAACCCGGGAAGGUUGGAGGUAUGCUGUGAGCCAUAAGUCAGGAGACCUGCCUGGGUAUCAGGUGAUUA